GUGGAUUAGAUACCCUGGUAGUCCACGCUGUAAACGAUGUCAACUGGGUGUCGGUAGUUUUACACUAUCGGUGCCGAAGCCAACGCGUUAAGUUGACCGCCUGGGGACUACGGCCGCAAGGCUAAAACUCAAAGGAAUUGACGGGGGCCCGCACAAGCAGCGGAGCGUGUGGUUUAAUUCGAUGCAACACGAAGAACCUUACCCAGGUUUGACAUGGUCGUAGUAGUGAACCGAAAGGGGAACGAGCCUUCGGGCAGCGAUCACAGGUGCUGCAUGGCCGUCGACAGCU
rnacentral:rRNA from 1 species